rnacentral:tRNA from 1 species
CAGUAAAUAGUUUAUUAAAAAUUUAAGUUUUGGGAAUUUAAGAUGCUAUUUUAGUUUUACUGA